rnacentral:rRNA from 1 species
GCAGUCGAGGGGUAUAUGUCUUCGGAUAUAGAGACCGGCGCACGGGUGCGUAACGCGUAUGCAAUCUGCCUUUCACAGAGGGAUAGCCCAGAGAAAUUUGGAUUAAUACCUCAUAGUAUAAUCAAGCCGCAUGGUUUAAUUAUUAAAGUCACAACGGUGAAAGAUGAGCAUGCGUCCCAUUAGCUAGUUGGUAAGGUAACGGCUUACCAAGGCAACGAUGGGUAGGGGUCCUGAGAGGGAGAUCCCCCACACUGGUACUGAGACACGGACCAGACUCCUACGGGAGGCAGCAGUGAGGAAUAUUGGACAAUGGGCGCAAGCCUGAUCCAGCCAUGCCGCGUGCAGGAUGACGGUCCUAUGGAUUGUAAACUGCUUUUGUACGAGAAGAAACAUCCCGACGUGUCGGGACUUGACGGUAUCGUAAGAAUAAGGAUCGGCUAACUCCGUGCCAGCAGCCGCGGUAAUACGGAGGAUCCAAGCGUUAUCCGGAAUCAUUGGGUUUAAAGGGUCCGUAGGCGGUUUAGUAAGUCAGUGGUGAAAGCCCAUCGCUCAACGGUGGAACGGCCAUUGAUACUGCUGAACUUGAAUUAUUAGGAAGUAACUAGAAUAUGUAGUGUAGCGGUGAAAUGCUUAGAUAUUACAUGGAAUACCAAUUGCGAAGGCAGGUUACUACUAAUGGAUUGACGCUGAUGGACGAAAGCGUGGGGAGCGAACAGGAUUAGAUACCCUGGUAGUCCACGCCGUAANCGAUGGA